rnacentral:rRNA from 1 species
UACGUAGGGUGCAAGCGUUAAUCGGAAUUACUGGGCGUAAAGCGUGCGCAGGCGGUGAUGUAAGACAGUUGUGAAAUCCCCGGGCUCAACCUGGGAACUGCAUCUGUGACUGCAUCGCUGGAGUGCGGCAGAGGGGGAUGGAAUUCCGCGUGUAGCAGUGAAAUGCGUAGAUAUGCGGAGGAACACCGAUGGCGAAGGCAAUCCCCUGGGCCUGCACUGACGCUCAUGCACGAAAGCGUGGGGAGCAAGCAGG